rnacentral:rRNA from 1 species
GAUGAACGCUAGCGGCAGGCCUAAUACAUGCAAGUCGGACGGGAUUUGGGAGCUUGCUCCUAAUGAGAGUGGCGCACGGGUGCGUAACACGUAUGUAACCUACCUUAAUCAGGGGGAUAGCCUCUCGAAAGAGAGAUUAACACCGCAUAAUAUAUUUUUAUGGCAUCGUAGAAAUAUCAAAUAUUUAUAGGAUUAAGAUGGGCAUGCGGAACAUUAGCUAGUUGGUAAGGUAACGGCUUACCAAGGCUACGAUGUUUAGGGGAUCUGAGAGGAUGACCCCCACACUGGUACUGAGACACGGACCAGACUCCUACGGGAGGCAGCAGUAAGGAAUAUUGGUCAAUGGGCGCAAGCCUGAACCAGCCAUGCCGCGUGCAGGAAGACGGCCCUAUGGGUUGUAAACUGCUUUUGUACCGGAAUAAACCCUUUUACGUGUAAAAGGCUGAAUGUACGGUAAGAAUAAGGAUCGGCUAACUCCGUGCCAGCAGCCGCAGUAA